rnacentral:rRNA from 1 species
GGGAUGACACAGUAGGAUAAGCUAAGCACACUGUUGGUUAUGUGUGCCCAAGCAUUGAGGCAGUCAAAGUAGGCAAAUCCGCUUUGAUAAUGCUGGGAUGUGAUGGGGAGCGAAAUUUAGUAGCGAAGUAGCUGAUUUCACACUGUCAAGAAAAGUCUCUAUCGAGGUUAAAGGUACCCGUACCGCAAACCGACACAGGUGGGUGAGGAGAGUAUCCUAAGGCCAGCGAGAGAACUGUUGUUAAGGAACUCGGCAAAAUGACCCCGUAACUUAGGGAUAAGGGGUGCCACCAUCAGGUGGCCGCAGAGAAUAGGCCCAAGCGACUGUUUACCAAAAACAUAGGUUUCUGCUAAGUCGCAAGACGAUGUAUAGGAGCUGACGCCUGCCCGGUGCUGGAAGGUUAAGGGGAUCUGUUAGAGCAAUCGAAGCAGUGAACUUAAGCCCCAGUAAACGGCGGCCGUAACUAUAACGGUCCUAAGGUAGCGAAAUUCCUUGUCGGGUAAGUUCCGACCCGAACGAAAGGCGUAACGAUUUGGGCACUGUCUCAACAACAGACUCGGUGAAAUUGUAAUUCCGGUGAAGAUGCCGGAUACCUGCGACAGGACGGAAAGACCCCAUGGAGCUUUACUGUAGCUUGACAUUGGGUCUUGGUACUACAUGUACAGGAUAGGU